CAGGCCUAACACAUGCAAGUCGAGGGUUUUAGGGAGAAGCUUGCUUUUCUGCUGACGACCGGCGCACGGUUGUGUAACGCGUAUGCAACCUACCUUCUACAGGGGGAUAGCCCAGAGAAAUUUGGAAUAAUACCCCAUACGAUCAAUGAUUGGCAUCGAUUAUUGAAGAAAACUCCGGUGGUAGAAGAUGGGCAUGCGUCCUAUUAGUUAGUUGGUGAGGUAACGGCUCACCAAGACAUCGAUAGGUAGGGGCCCUGAGAGGGGGAUCCCCCACACUGGUACUGAGACACGGACCAGACUCCUACGGGAGGCAGCAGUGAGGAAUAUUGGACAAUGGGGGCAGCCCUGAUCCAGCCAUGCCGCGUGCAGGAAGACUGCCCUAUGGGUUGUAAACUGCUUUUAUACAGGAAGAAACCUACUUACGUGUAAGUAGCUGACGGUACUGUAAGAAUAAGGAUCGGCUAACUCCGUGCCAGCAGCCGCGGUAAUACGGAGGAUCCAAGCGUUAUCCGGAAUCAUUGGGUUUAAAGGGUCCGUAGGUGGUUAAUUAAGUCAGAGGUGAAAGCCAGCAGCUCAACUGUUGAACUGCCUUUGAUACUGAUUAACUUGAGUUAUUGUGAAGUAGUUAGAAUAUGUAGUGUAGCGGGUG
rnacentral:rRNA from 1 species